rnacentral:rRNA from 1 species
GAUGAACGCUAGCGGCAGGCCUAAUACAUGCAAGUCGAACGGUGUCUUCGGACAUAGUGGCGCACGGGUGCGUAACACGUAUGCAACCUACCUUACAUUGGGGGAUAGCCUUUCGAAAGGGAGAUUAAUACCGCAUAAGACAGUAGCUGGGCAUCCAGCAGCUGUUAAAGAUUUAUCGAUGUAAGCUGGGCAUGCGUCCAAUUAGCUAGUUGGUGAGGUAACGGCUCACCAAGGCAAUGAUUGGUAGGGGAACUGAGAGGUCAAUCCCCCACCCUGGCACUGAGAUACGGGCCCGACUCCUACGGGAGGCAGCAGUAGGGAAUAUGGGGCAAUGGACGCAAGUCUGACCCAGCCAUGCCGCGUGCAGGAUGAGGGCGUUAUGCGUUGUAAACUGCUUUUAUACAGGAAGAAACGACUCUUGCGAGAGGCAUUGACGGUACUGUAUGAAUAAGCACCGGCUAACUCCGUGCCAGCCGCCGCAGUAAGAC